UUUAAUGAGGUGUCUUGUUUAGCAUUCUGCAUUUUGGUUGCAGGGGGGGUUUGUUGCCCAUUAAA
rnacentral:tRNA from 1 species